rnacentral:misc_RNA from 1 species
UCCGGUUUGUCACCGGCAGUCUCGCAUGAGUCCCCAACUAAAUGCUGGCAACAUGCGACGGGGGUUGCGCUCGUUGCGGGACUUAACCCAACAUCUCACGACACGAGCUGACGACAGCCAUGCACCACCUGUGAAGAUGCCCCGAAGGGAAGCCGUGUUUCCACGGCGGUCAUCCACAUGUCAAGCCCAGGUAAGGUGGGAUGACGUCCCAAGGUUGGUU